rnacentral:lncRNA from 1 species
UGACGUGGCAGACGUCAUCAGUGCCGGCAAGAAUAAGACACUGCUUGGCGCCCUUUUCACGUAGCUCAGCUCUUGGAUCACCUUAAUAUUCAAAGUCCACCCUACUUUUAUGUUAAAACUGCUGCUAUUUUAACAUGUCCUUGGUUGGAAAUCAAAGAGAAAAGGUUUCCCCAUGUUCUCACUGAUUUUAAGCCAAAGACAUGACUCCUUGAAGACAAAUUUUCUGGAACUUCCCCAUGGUGUGGGUUGUGCUGGGGGAUCCGAUGAAGGGGAAGUAAGCUGCUCCCCUGUGCCCCAACUCAUAUCAAUGAAGGAUUGAAGCCGCUGUGUCCAGUCAGGAUUCUGCUAAGACUUUCCAAGCACAGGCGCUAUGGUGCCAGGACAGAAUUGGAGCUUUUGUAGAGCAGGCACGUGACAUCUGCGCUUCUACAUAAAAAAUGCCUGAUGGCAUCUGGAGUUGUCCAACGUUGCCCUGAAAAUUCUAUAGAUUAAGAUAAUCCUGGUGCUUACUAUUGUCCUCUGUGCAGUUGCAAUUCUGACCUUCGUUAUAGUAGCCAAAAGCUUUAUUUAUAACAUAGCAAAAGCAGAUUUUACUUAUGUCAGUCAAUGCUUUAAUUUUCCACCAGGAUGGUAACAAACUCUGCUUUUAGGACAAACUACGUCUUCUUCUGUCUGUUGAGCAAUUUAGCUUACAUCUUGCAGGAAACCAAGCCCAAUCAGAAGGAGCUGUGGACAGUUUAGUGAAGGUGGUUCUAAAUAUGGGAUUUGCUGGGUUUAAAGAAAGCAAAGUGAAAUGAAAGGCUGAUACAAUGAUUUAUGAAUAUAAAAUAUAAAAUCCCACAUGUAUAGAAGAGAUUUAAAAUAGGUUCACGUACUUGCAAAAAC